rnacentral:rRNA from 1 species
AUUGAACGCUGGCGGCAGGCUUAACACAUGCAAGUCGAGCGGAGAUGAGGUGCUUGCACCUUAUCUUAGCGGCGGACGGGUGAGUAAUGCUUAGGAAUCUGCCUAUUAGUGGGGGACACCAUUCCGAAAGGAAUGCUAAUACCGCAUACGUCCUACGGGAGUAAGCAGGGGAUCUUCGGACCUUGCGCUAAUAGAUGAUCAUAAUUCGGGUUAGCUAGUUGGUGGGGUAAAGGCCUACCAAGGCGACGAUCUGUAGCGGGUCGGAGAGGAUGAUCCGCCACACUGGGACUGAGACACGGCCCAGACUCCUACGGGAGGCAGCAGUGGGGAAUAUUGGACAAUGGGGGAAACCCUGAUCCAGCCAUGCCGCGUGUGUGAAGAAGGCCUUAUGGUUGUAAAGCACUUUAAGCGAGGAGGAGGCUACUGAGACUAAUACUCUUGGAUAGUGGACGUUACUCGCAGAAUAAGCACCGGCUAACUCUGUGCCAGCCGCCGCCGUAA